UCUUUCCUUUUUUCUUUUCUUUUCUCUUAUUUUCUCUUCUUUUCUUUUCUUUUCUCUUCUUUUCUUUUUUUCUAACUGAAGAGCGGCAGUAGUGGCGCAAACGCAUAACUUCGGACAAUGUAGUUCAGGGAUAAUAAAUUCCCACACCGCAACAUUGUGAGAAUCCUACAAUUCCCGGCAUCCUUUGGAGCCGACGUGGUCUGUUGUUUUCCUGCUCAGACGCGGCUAGUUCAAGUUGCCAUAGCACGGUGGAGUUGAGGGUUGUUCUUCUGUUAGCUGUUACUCGCAAAUCGAAAAACCAACGUCUCGUUUGUACUCUGUUUAUAACGACUGCAUGUAUUUCCUCCGUUUCCACUGGACGUACGCAAUGUUUUGCAGUUUUACGGCAUUAUUCCAGAGCUAAAUUAGUUGGCUAACGUUAGGUUAGCUAGCUAACGUUCAUAGUAGUUGCCACUUGUUGCUAGCCAGGGGGAGUAUCACUCACAACAAUGCCCGGGACUGUGAUUGAUUGGGAGGGGGACAGUGUGAAUUGUAGCGUUUUGCUGGUCAAACAGUUCUUUGACUGCACCGGUUGUUAAGGUAACGAUGACAAAGCUCCCUUUUCCGUUUGCUAUGACAGAAUUAUCUACUGUAAAGAAACUUCAAAACCAUCCCACUUUGUUCGUUAAUCUGAUUAACGUUAAAGUUAACAGUUAGCGUUUUGCGCCGAGGAAGCUCGUGCUGGUCACUAAUCGUCAUAUUUGCCUAGUCGGCCGUUUUUCGUCGCCGCUCCCGCAGGCCUGUCCCAAACCAUGGACACAUCCAGCGAGUCGGAUUCAUACGACAGGACCCGGGGACACAGGCCUCGGGGGCGUGAAGCCCACCGCAGACCUGACCGGGACAGGGGCAGAGCCAGUGGGAGUGGAGGUGAUGAUCGAGCAGCAGACAUCUCCAAGAAGAUCAGCACCCUGGCGAACACUUUACAGGACACCAGUAGAAACCUGACCAAAGUAGACCGGAUGCUGGGCCAGUACAGGGAGCAUACAGAUGAUCAGGCUGAGGCCAUGUCACUGCUCAGGGAAAACCUGGAGGAGUCAAUCAGUCAGCUGCAGACGCAGAGGCUGAGCAGAUCCAAUGGGAUUCGGAGUGCUUCAGCUUCUGCCUCUACCCUGCAUACCAGUGACCUGGAGGCUUGCUCAGGGUCAGAGGGCCAGCGUUUCUAUCCUACCUCUCCACUGAGGGACUACACGGGUACACAAGGGAGAAAGAGGAGGUCUCAGUCUGCUGGCGUUCGCUUCAAGGAUACUAGCCUGACAGGAGAGGAUCUUCAUUCUCUACACCAAUCCUUGCGGGAUCUGCGUUGUGACCAGCAGAGACUGUCUGAUGACCUGGACAGAGAAAUCCUCAGGAGGAAUAGGUCUGAUAUUGACACCAGACGGGCGAUGGAGAGCCUCACAGGGCACAUGACAGCUCCCCAGAGAGAAGACUCAGUGUCGUCUCGCGUGGAGCGGCGUCUGCAGGAGCUGGAGAGAGAGAUGCAUGCCGAGGAGAGGAGCGUGGUGAGAGGAAGAAGGCCUGAGCAGCGUGUGGCUAUGUCUGACGAGCUACAGGAGACUUUAGGGAGACACCAAGCUCAAACCCAUGAGAGAGAGGAGACCAUGACAGCCAGGUUACUGAAAGCAGAGAGGGAGAAGUCCAAGAUGGAGCAGGAGCUGGAGAAAGCCAGAAGACUAUUAGAAAAGUCAGAGGACAACAGAGAGACACUCGUUCAACAGGUGGAGGACAUGCGUGGUGAGCUACUGAGGACACAGAAGGAGAAGACUGAGCUUCAGAGGGCCUGGCUGGAGACUGCUCAGCCUACUGCUCAGCCACAUGGCAACCACACUGACAGGGAGGAGGGAAGAGGUGGACUGCGAGGGCCAGAUCGCUUAGACCUCGAAAAAGAAGUGGCAGAGUUGCGAGUCCAGCUGCGCAAGGCCUCGGUCCUCAGUGAGGUUGAAGAACUGAAGAGGGCUUUGGACCGCAAGGAGAAGGAGAGGGUCCAACUCAGCUUACAGGUGGAGGAAUUGUCAUCAGACCUGGCGCGGCGGGAGCAACAGCAGCUACGAAUGCUGGAGCAGUUGAAGGAGAUACAGAGCCAAGGGCAGACAGAGAGGAGGGAGACGGAGGUAUUACUCCAGGAGAGCAUAAGGAGCCGAGACGAAUUGAAGACCAGGGCCCAGGAAGCUGUGCGCCAGUGGAGGGCAAAGUGCAAGAGACUGCAGAAGGAGCUGGAAGAGGCAAGGGCCCAGGCUCAGUUCCAUACUGACAAGGCCUCGCAGGCAGCCAGGGAAAAGGAGAGCUCUCAGGCCCAGCUGAAGGCGCUGAGCCAGCAGACUGAGGCAGCCCGCAGGGAGCUCGCUGAAAUCCUAGGCCGUUUGGCCCAGCGCGAGGAAGAACUCCACCGCAAGGAUGUGGACCUGUCCGAGACCUGCCAGCGCCAGUUGUCACUGGAGCAGGAAAUACGGGAGGUAAGGGAGGCCUUAGCUGCCCUGGAGGAAGAUUCUCAGCGUCAGGCUGCCAUCCAAGCAAGACUAAGGGAAGAGAACCAGAGGCUGGAGAAACAAGCCGACACCCAAGCCCGUCGCUGUCAAAGAGACCAGGACGCACAGGCCGAGCUCCAGGCCUCCUUGAAGCAGAUGACCUCAGCCCACGCCCAGCUGGCUCAGCGAUUAGCUGAGGAGGAGAGCUUCAGGAAGGAGGCCCAGAAGGGUGCCUCAGAACUACAGGCCACGCUGACAGUGGCGCAGGAGGAGCGGGCUGCACUGGGGCAGCAGCUGCAGCUUGAAAGAGAAGUGCAUCAGAAGGAACUGGACAACAUGAAGGCAAUGAUGGAAGACAGCAGGAUAAAGAAGGAUCGUGAAGUGCAGGACAUGCUUAAGCUCUGUCGUCAGGAGCGAGAUGAAAUACAGUCACACCUGAAGGAGGUAGAGGCAGAUGCAGCGUCAGACAACAAGCUGUGCGGGGUUCUGCGCAUCAAGUUGGACAGGAUGAAGGAUGAGUGUGAUAAGCUGGCAGCGCAGCUGAGUAAAAAAGACGAGGCACAUGCACUCCUCCACAGAAAGUACCAUCUACUCAAACAGGAACUGGAUGACAAAGUCAGGUCAGGUGACUGGAGACAUGCUUUGGAGUCAGAGCUGGAGGAGAAGGUGUUGCGGAUGGAGGCAGAGCAGGAGGCAAUCCUUACCUCCAUGGGUGAGGAACUGGAUGCAGCCUGCCGCAGCCUGGCUAGGAAUGGUGAAGACAAACUACAGGCAAUCUCACAGAAACCUGGAUUAGUGAAAGACCCCCAUCACUGGCUCGCCGAGACAAAGACAAAGCUACGCUGGCUGUGCGAGGAGGUGCGGGAGCGUGACACAAGAGAACAGCGCCUGAGGAAGCAGCAUCAGCAAAUCAGGGAUCAGUUGAGAGCCCUCAGGCAGAGCCGGGACUCAGAACAGGCCGCUCUGUUGCAUCGCCUGGACCAACAGGAGAAGCUGCUUCACUCCCUCAGCACUGAAAAGAAAGAGCUGCUGGAGCAGAGUCGCAGGAAGGAGGAAGAAAUGAGGAGCCUUCAGGACCGUGUUUUGGAUCUAGAAGCGAACACGAGAGUAGCCUUGGACCACUUGGAGUCAAUUCCCGAAAAACAGUGUCUGAUGGAAAACUUCAAAGAUCUGGAGGAGUCACAGCGGCAGAGGGAGAUGGUGGAGCAGCGCUACACCAAAUACAAAGAGAUUGUCUGGGACCUGCAGCACCAGCUGGACGAGUCCAAAAGCAGAAUCCAGGAGUACAGAGACGAGAAGCUGGAUGCCAUGUCCAGGAGCCUGAGACUGGCUGCUCUUUCUUCCUCCAUCAAAGGCCCCAGCACGUUCCUGAGCAGCUCGCUGAAGUCUGACACACUGUCUCCUCACAAACGUCUGACCAACUCAGACUUGGAUGAGUCCGCAGUCAGUGGGUCCAAACCCCUCACGGAUUAGCGCAACCUCACGUGAACCUUUAUCUGUAUCUCAACAAACCCAAACACGCGGUGCCUACAGGUGAAUCUACCUGACUGGUGCUCAUCCAGAACAAAGAGCAACUUGACUACACUAGAAGGCUUUGCACUCAACAAUAAUCCUCCUCGACUACCUCAAUCACUGAAGGUGCUCAAGAGCAGAAGGCUCCUCACAAACGUCUGACCAACUCAGACUUGGAUGAGUCCGCAGUCAGCGGGUCCAAACCCCUCACGGAUUAGCUCAACCUCACGUGAACCUUUAUCUGUAUCUCAACAAACCCAAACACGCGGUGCCUACAGGUGAAUCUACCUGACUGGUGCUCAUCCAGAACAAAGAGCAACUUGACUACACUAGAAGGCUUUGCACUCAACAAUAAUCCUCCUCGACUACCUCAAUCACUGAAGGUGCUCAAGAGCAGAAGGGUAAGACUCUGAGCUUUCACAGCAAAGUGUGAGAAAUACUUUGAAGGAGGUGAUACUGUAAAGUGUUUUAAUGUUAUUUAUAAGGCCCUGGAUUGAAUGUAUUUAAUAUGUUUGAAAAAGAUUUCAACCAAAACAGUUAGUUAAAUUUUUUUUAACCAUUAUUACAACAUUUUAACUACGCAACAGCUGUUUUAAAUACUGUUUACCUAAUGAUAAAGCUGUACUCUUGUUAUCAUGCCAAUGUGUUUGAGCUAAACUGAUUUAGUACAGAGUAACUCUACACAAAGAGAACUCUGGUGCCUUUUGAAGAAUAUGCAGUUUUUUUUCCUUUUUACUAACACACUGGUUGUCUUUAUCAUGACAAUGUGACAAAUCUGUUUUCUCUUUUACCACCUCUUUCAAUGUAUUGACCAAUUUUCCUAUUCCUAUUUCCUAAUUUUACUAAAAGGCAGUCCUUCUCAAAUAGUGGGGCGUGUCCCCGGCAUCGCACUGCUGAGACAGAGACAAUGAGACCAAAAAAGUCAUACUUUAGUGUGGCCUCAAAAUAUACCAAAAAACGUCAAAGU